GACGAACGCUGGCGGCGUGCUUAACACAUGCAAGUCGAGCGGAAAGGCCCUUCGGGGUACUCGAGCGGCGAACGGGUGAGUAACACGUGAGUAACCUGCCCUAGGCUUUGCGAUAACCCCGGGAAACCGGGGCUAAUACCGGAUAUGACCUGGUGCCGCAUGGUGUUGGGUGGAAAGUUUUUUCGGCCUGGGAUGGGCUCGCGGCCUAUCAGCUUGUUGGUGGGGUGAUGGCCUACCAAGGCGAUGACGGGUAGCCGGCCUGAGAGGGCGACCGGCCACACUGGGACUGAGACACGGCCCAGACUCCUACGGGAGGCAGCAGUGGGGAAUAUUGCGCAAUGGGCGGAAGCCUGAUGCAGCGACGCCGUGUGAGGGAUGAAGGCCUUCGGGUUGUAAACCUCUUUCAGCAGGGACGAAGCGUGAGUGACGGUACCUGCAGAAGAAGCGCCGGCCAACUACGUG
rnacentral:rRNA from 1 species